rnacentral:rRNA from 1 species
UAAUACGAAGGGGGCUAGCGUUGCUCGGAAUUACUGGGCGUAAAGGGCGCGUAGGCGGAUCGUUAAGUCAGAGGUGAAAUCCCAGGGCUCAACCCUGGAACUGCCUUUGAUACUGGCGAUCUUGAGUAUGAGAGAGGUAUGUGGAACUCCGAGUGUAGAGGUGAAAUUCGUAGAUAUUCGGAAGAACACCAGUGGCGAAGGCGACAUACUGGCUCAUUACUGACGCUGAGGCGCGAAAGCGUGGGGAGCAAACAGGAUUAGAUACCCUGGUAGUCCACGCCGUAAACGAUGAUUGCUAGUUGUCGGGCUGCAUGCAGUUCGGUGACGCAGCUAACGCAUUAAGCAAUCCGCCUGGGGAGUACGGUCGCAAGAUUAAAACUCAAAUGAAUUGACGG